AUGGAUCAAAAGUACGUUGAUGUGACAAAAUCUCAAAAUAAGCAUGACAACACCACAGUUAUCCAUCAUUACAAAGUAGAUGUGUUUAAUGUUGCAAUAGAUCAACAAGUGAUAGAGUUGAAUGAUCGAUUCAGUUCUCAAGUAACUGAGCUACUAGAUCUUUGUUCAUCAUUGGACCCGAGGCAUGAUGCCUUUAGCAAAUCAAAGAUAUGCAGACUAGUGGAGAAAUUCUAUCCUGCAGAUUUUUCUAGUCAAGAAAGAGAUCGGUUGGAGUGCGAGCUACCACAUUUCCAGCUUGAUACAUUCAACCAUCCAGAGAUCAAGAACUGUAAAUCACUUGCUGAUCUAACAAAAGGAAUAGUUAAGACUGGCAAGUCUUCUGACUAUCCAAUGGUUGAGAGGUUGUUACGAUUGGUGAUAACUCUCCGGGUGUCAACCGCAACAGCAGAGUGA
rnacentral:rRNA from 1 species